rnacentral:rRNA from 1 species
CCUACGAGAGGCAGCAGUGGGGGAUAUUGCACAAUGGGGGAAACCCUGAUGCAGCGACGCCGCGUGAGGGAAGACGGUCCUCUGGAUUGUAAACCACUGUCCCCAGGGACGAAGAUGACGGUACCUGGGGAGGAAGCUCCGGCUAACUACGUGCGAGCAGCCGCGGUAAUACGUAGGGAGCAAGCGUUGUCCGGAUUUACUGGGUGUAAAGGGAGCGUAGGCGGGAUGUCAAGUUGGCUGUUAAAUCUACCGGCUCAACUGGUAGUCGCACUUAAAACUGCUAUUCUUGAGUGAAGUAGAGGCAGGCGGAAUUCCUAGUGUAGCGGUGAAAUGCGUAGAUAUUAGGAGGAACACCAGUGGCGAAGGCAGCCUGCUGGGCUUUUACUGACGCUGAGGCUCGAAAGUGUGGGGAGCAAACAGGAUUAGAUACCCUUGUAGUC